GACGAACGCUGGUGGCGUGCCUAAUACAUGCAAGUAGAACGCUGAAGGAGGAGCUUGCUCUUCUGGAUGAGUUGCGAACGGGUGAGUAACGCGUAGGUAACCUGCCUGGUAGCGGGGGAUAACUAUUGGAAACGAUAGCUAAUACCGCAUAAGAGUAGAUGUUGCAUGACAUUUACUUAAAAGGUGCAAUUGCAUCACUACCAGAUGGACCUGCGUUGUAUUAGCUAGUUGGUGGGGUAACGGCUUACCAAGGCGACGAUACAUAGCCGACCUGAGAGGGUGAUCGGCCACACUGGGACUGAGACACGGCCCAGACUCCUACGGGAGGCAGCAGUAGGGAAUCUUCGGCAAUGGACGGAAGUCUGACCGAGCAACGCCGCGUGAGUGAAGAAGGUUUUCGGAUCGUAAAGCUCUGUUGUAAGAGAAGAACGAGUGUGAGAGUGGAAAGUUCACACUGUGACGGUAUCUUACCAGAAAGGGACGGCUAACUACGUG
rnacentral:rRNA from 1 species